GCUAAAAAAAAACGAAGAAAAGAAAACACAAGAAACAGGACGCUUAUACUUCAAGCAGCAGACGUAUAACGACGUCGCAUAGAGAUUCUUGAUGACAGAACAAUGA
rnacentral:lncRNA from 1 species